rnacentral:rRNA from 1 species
AUUGAACGCUGGCGGCAGGCCUAACACAUGCAAGUCGAACGAGUGGCGGACGGGUGAGUAAUGUCUGGGAAACUGCCUGAUGGAGGGGGAUAACUACUGGAAACGGUAGCUAAUACCGCAUACCAUCGGAUGUGCCCAGAUGGGCUUAGCUAGUAGGUGGGGUAACGGCUCACCUAGGAGACGAUCCCUAGCUGGUCUGAGAGGAUGACCCGGCACACUGGAACUGAGACACGGUCCAGACGCCUACGUGAGGCAGCGGUGGGGAAUAUUGCACAAUGGGCGCAAGGCUGAUGCAGCCAUGCCGCGUGUGUGAAGAAGGCCUUCGGGUUGUAAGGCACUUUCAGCGGGGAGGGGUUACCCGCAGAAGAAGCACCGGCUAACUCCGUGCCAGCAGCCGCGGUAAUAC